rnacentral:rRNA from 1 species
GAUGAACGCUGGCGGCGUGCCUAAUACAUGCAAGUCGAACGGACGGGCGCGGCGCUUGCGUCUUUGUUGUUAGCCGAAGGCGUGUGUGUAACGCGUGGAUCAUCUACUUAUCAUACGGGGAUAACUUCGGAACACCGGCGCUAAUCCCGUAUAAUCUUUUGCACCGCAUGGUUGAAUGGAGAAAGACGGUGUUGGUGUCACUUCUCGCUGGAUCCGCGCUGCAUUAGCUAGUUGGUACGGUAACGGCUUACCAAGGCAACUAUGCAUAGCCGACCUGAGGGGGGGAUCGGCCACACUGGAGCUGAGACACGGUCCAGACUCCUACGGGAGGCAGCAGUAGGGAAUCUUCCGCAAUGGGCGAAAGCCUGACGGAGCAACGCCGCGUGAGUUAUGAAGGUCUUCGGAUCGUAAAACUCUGUUAUGAGGGAAGAACAGAUGUGGAAGUAACCGAACACAGCGUGACGGUACUUAAUCAGAAAGCCACGGCUAACUACGUG